AUCCCUUCUUCUCCCCCUUCCCCGACAUCCUUUGGUGGUUCCUCGUUUUGCAUACUGGACUUACCUUGGACAGGAACAAAACCGCUGGUGAGUCUCGUGGAAUUCGUCCUGAUUCGGGCACUUAAGGCAGUAACCGGGUAGAUUUAGGCGUGACAGAGCAACGCGAAGCAGCGGCGUCAAGAAGGGAGCUGAAAAUGCACAGCGGCAGCGGUAAAACGCCCAGCAGCCUGCAAGGGAGUUUCGCAGUCUUCCCACCAAAGUGAUAACGUUAGACUGCCAACUUCAGAUUUAGGUGUGAUUAACGCGUCCCUACCUGUCCCGCCCCCGCACUUCUCCGGAUAGUUACGGAACUUGUGAAGGGAGAGAGCUAACUUUAAGAAGAAGGGGGGAAAGAUUGGUGGAGAAGAGAUUCACUCUUGAUUCAUGAGCUUUUCCCUAUCCCCAAAUUAAAAGCAGAAGGAAGAAAACGGCCGCCAAAGCGUCCUAGAAACAAAAGGCAUACAGAGAGGACGUGAGUCACCCGGAAAGCGGACCCGCCCCGCUCACCAGAUGUAGCAGCGAUGUAUAACUUCCCUGAAAGGAUGAGAAGGUGCUGGUUAUUCAAGGCUUGUUCAUUUUAGAAAGAAAAUGGCAAUUAGAGAAAACAGUUGGGGAAAUUAAGAUCUGGUAAUCUGAAAAGGAUCGAAUAAAGAAUGCCGAAGUUUG